UACGGGGGGGGCAAGCGUUGUUCGGAAUUACUGGGCGUAAAGGGCGCGUAGGCGGUCUUGUAAGUCUUGUGUGAAAUCCCUCGGCUUAACUGAGGAACUGCACGAGAUACUGCAAGACUUGAGAUCGGGAGAGGGAAGCGGAAUUCCGGGUGUAGCGGUGAAAUGCGUAGAUAUCCGGAGGAACACCGGUGGCGAAGGCGGCUUCCUGGACCGACACUGACGCUGAGGCGCGAAAGCUAGGGGAGCAAACGGG
rnacentral:rRNA from 1 species